rnacentral:rRNA from 1 species
AACUCAAAGGAAUUGACGGGGGCCCGCACAAGCGGAGGAGCAUGUGGUUUAAUUCGAUGAUACGCGAGGAACCUUACCUGGGCUCGAACGUAAGAUGACUGUAGGUGAAAGCUUACAUCUCUUCGGAGCAUUUUACGAGGUGCUGCAUGGUUGUCGUCAGCUCGUGCCGUGAGGUGUCGGGUUAAGUCCCAUAACGAGCGCAACCCCUACCUUUAGUUGCCAUCAGGUUAAGCUGGGGACUCUAAAGGAACUGCCUACGCAAGUAGUGAGGAAGGCGGGGAUGACGUCAAAUCAGCACGGCCCUUACGUCCAGGGCUACACACGUGUUACAAUGGCCAGUACAGAGGGCAGCCACCCCGCGAGGGGGCGCUAAUCCUAAAAGCUGGUCCCAGUUCGGAUCGGAGUCUGCAACCCGACUCCGUGAAGCUGGAUUCGCUAGUAAUCGCGCAUCAGCCACGGCGCGGUGAAUACGUUCCCGGGCCUU